CCUUAGAGUUUGAUCCUGGCUCAGGAUGAACGCUGGCGGCGUGCCUAAUACAUGCAAGUCGAACGAAUCUCUUUUAGAGAUGAGUGGCGAACGGGUGAGUAAUACAUAGGUAACCUGCCCCUGUGCGGGGGAUAACAGGAGGAAACUCCUGCUAAUACCGCAUAGCCAUGAGCACCGCAUGGAGCUCAUGCCAAAUAUCCUUUAUGGGAUAGCGCAGGGAUGGACCUAUGGCGCAUUAGCUGGUUGGCGGGGCAACGGCCCACCAAGGCAACGAUGCGUAGCCGGCCUGAGAGGGCGGACGGCCACAUUGGGACUGAGACACGGCCCAGACUCCUACGGGAGGCAGCAGUAGGGAAUUUUCGGCAAUGGGGGAAACCCUGACCGAGCAACGCCGCGUGAGCGAAGAAGGCCUUCGGGUCGUAAAGCUCUGUUGUAAAGGAAGAACGGCGCAUACAGGAAAUGGUAUGCGAGUGACGGUACUUUACCAGAAAGCCACGGCUAACUACGUGCCAGCAGCCGCGGUAAUACGUAGGUGGCGAGCGUUAUCCGGAAUCAUUGGGCGUAAAGAGGGAGCAGGCGGCCGCAAGGGUCUGUGGUGAAAGACCGAAGCUAAACUUCGGUAAGCCAUGGAAACCGGGCGGCUAGAGUGCGGAAGAGGAUCGUGGAAUUCCAUGUGUAGCGGUGAAAUGCGUAGAUAUAUGGAGGAACACCAGUGGCGAAGGCGACGGUCUGGGCCGCAACUGACGCUCAUUCCCGAAAGCGUGGGGAGCAAAUAGGAUUAGAUACCCUAGUAGUCCACGCCGUAAACGAUGGUCACUAAGUGUCGGGGGUCAAACCCCGGUGCUGCAGUCAACGCAAUAAGUGACCCGCCUGAGUAGUACGUUCGCAAGAAUGAAACUCAAAUGAAUUGACGG
rnacentral:rRNA from 1 species